AGAAUCAACGCUGGCGGCGCGCUUAACACAUGCAAGUCGCACGAGAAAGGGAGCAAUCCUGAGUAAAGUGGCGCACGGGUGAGUAACACGUGGAUCAUCUACCUUUUAGUGGGGAAUACCUCUGGGAAACCGGAGAUAAUACCGCAUAAGCUCGUAAGAGGAAAGCAGCAAUGCGCUGAAAGAGGAGUCCGCGGCUGAUUAGCUAGUUGGUGAGGUAACGGCCCACCAAGGCGAAGAUCGGUAGCCGGCCUGAGAGGGCACACGGCCACACUGGCACUGAAACACGGGCCAGACUCCUACGGGAGGCAGCAGUGGGGAAUCUUGCACAAUGGAGGAAACUCUGAUGCAGCGACGCCGCGUGAGCGAUGAAGCCCUUCGGGGUGUAAAGCUCUUUCGACGGGAACGAUAAUGACGGUACCCGGAGAAGAGCUGCGCUAACUACGCGCCAGCAGCCGCGGUAA
rnacentral:rRNA from 1 species